AUAUCAAUAAGCGGAGGAAAAGAAACCAACAGGGGGGGCCUUAGUAACGGCGAGUGAAGCGGCAAAAGCUCAAAUUUGAAAUCUGGCAGUAAUAUCCGAGUUGUAAUUUGAAGAAGGUAACUUUGGUGAUAGCUCUUGCAUAUGUUCCUUGGAACAGGACCUCAUAGAGGGUGAGAAUCCCGUAUAUGGUGAGAUGACAUAUUACUAUGUAAAGUGCCUUUGAAGAGUCGAGUUGUUUGGGAAUGCAGCUCUAAGUGGGUGGUAAAUUCCAUCUAAAGCUAAACAUUGGCGAGAGAUUGAUAACGAACAAGUACAGUGAUGGAAAGAUGAAAAGAACUUUGAAAAGAGAGUGAAAAGUAC
rnacentral:rRNA from 1 species